GACGAACCGAGCGAACGUUGUUCGGAAUCACUGGGCGUAAAGGGCGCGUAGGCGGGGAGGUAAGUCGGGUGUGAAAUCCCUCGGCCCAACCGAGGAACUGCGCCCGAGACUGCUUCUCUUGAGUCCCGGAGAGGAAGGUGGAAUUCCCGGUGUAGCGGUGAAAUGUGUAGAGAUCGGGAGGAACACCGGUGGCGAAGGCGGCCUUCUGGACGGUGACUGACGCUGAGGCGCGAAAGCGUGGGGAGCAAACGGG
rnacentral:rRNA from 1 species